rnacentral:rRNA from 1 species
GACGAACGCUGGCGGCGUGCUUAACACAUGCAAGUCGAACGGAAAGGCCCUGCUUUUGUGGGGUGCUCGAGUGGCGAACGGGUGAGUAACACGUGAGUAACCUGCCCUUGACUUUGGGAUAACUUCAGGAAACUGGGGCUAAUACCGGAUAGGAGCUCCUGCUGCAUGGUGGGGGUUGGAAAGUUUCGGCGGUUGGGGAUGGACUCGCGGCUUAUCAGCUUGUUGGUGGGGUAGUGGCUUACCAAGGCUUUGACGGGUAGCCGGCCUGAGAGGGUGACCGGCCACAAUGGGACUGAGAUACGGCCCAGAAUGCUACGGGAGGCAGCAGUGGGGAAUAUUGCACAAUGGGCGGAAGCCUGAUGCAGCAACGCCGCGUGCGGGAUGACGGCCUUCGGGUUGUAAACCGCUUUCGCCUGUGACGAAGCGUGAGUGACGGUAAUGGGUAAAGAAGCACCGGCUAACUACGUG